rnacentral:rRNA from 1 species
CCUACGUGAGGCUGCAGUGGGGAAUAUUGCACAAUGGGGGGAACCCUGAUGCAGCGACGCCGCGUGGGUGAGGAAGUACUUCGGUAUGUAAAGCCCUAUCAGCAGGGAAGAAAAUGACGGUACCUUACUAAGAAGCCCCUGCUAACUACUUGCCAGCAGCCGCUGUAAUACGUAGGGGGCAAGCGUUAUCCGGAUUUACUGGGUGUAAAGUGAGCGUAGACGGCGUGCCAAGUCUGGUGUGAAAUGCCGGGGCUCAAACCCGGGACUGCAUUUGAAACUGGCAUGCUGGGGUGCCGGAGGGGCAAGCGGAAUUCCUAGUGUAGCGGUGAACUGCGUAGAUAUUAGGAGGAACACCGGUGGCGAAGGCGGCUUGCUGGACGGUAACGGACGUUGAGGCUCGAAAGCGUGGGGAGCAAACAGGAUUAGCUACCCCAGUAGGC